rnacentral:rRNA from 1 species
UACGUAGGGUGCAAGCGUUGUCCGGAAUUAUUGGGCGUAAAGAGCUCGUAGGCGGUUUGUUGCGUCGGCUGUGAAAUCCCGAGGCUCAACCUCGGGUCUGCAGUCGAUACGAGCAAACUAGAGUGUUGCAGGGGAGACUGGAAUUCCUGGUGUAGCGGUGAAAUGACGCAGAUAUCAGGAGGAACACCGGUGGCGAAGGCGGGUCUCUGGGCCGUAACUGACGCUGGAGGAGCGAAAGCGUGGGGAGCGAACAGG